GGGGAGGGGGCAGGAACCCUCCUUUCUAGGAUAUUACGGAAACCUACACCCUCUUCGAAACUGGGGAAAAGAUUUGAGAGAUUUAACUCUCAAAACUUGCUCUUUGAAAACUAGAUAAUAUCAAAUAUAUUUUUUGAGUUUUUUAUUGAAGUUUAAUUAUCGCUAAACUCAUUAAUCGCAUUUACCGUUAGGUAAAUGAGGUUAAGUUAACAAGGGCGCAGGUGGAUGCCCUGGCACUCA
rnacentral:misc_RNA from 1 species